UACGUAGGGGGCAAGCGUUGUCCGGAUUUAUUGGGCGUAAAGAGCGUGUAGGCGGCCAGGUAGGUCAGCUGUGAAAACUCGAGGCUUAACCUCGAGACGCCGGCUGAAACCCUCUGGCUAGAGUCCGGAAGAGGAGAGCGGAAUUCCUGGUGUAGCGGUGAAAUGCGCAGAUAUCAGGAAGAACACCCGUGGCGAAGGCGGCUCUCUGGGCCGAUACUGACACUGAGGAGCGAAAGCGUGGGGAGCGAACAGG
rnacentral:rRNA from 1 species